rnacentral:rRNA from 5 species
AGAUCGUAGGCUGCAACUCGCCUACGUGAAGGAGGAAUCGCUAGUAAUCGCAGGUCAGCAUACUGCGGUGAAUACGUUCCCGGGCCUUGUACACACCGCCCGUCACACCAUGGAAGUUGGCCACGCCCGAAGCCGUUACUCCAACCCUCGGGAGGAGGACGUCGAAGGUGGGGCUGAUGACUGGGGUGAAGUCGUAACAAGGUAGCCGUACCGGAAGGUGCGGCUGGAUCACCUCCUAA